UUCACCUUCCAUCAUGAUUGUGAGGCCUCCCCAGCCAUGUGGAACUGUAAGUCCAUUAAACCUCUUUCUUUUGUAAAUUGUCCAGUCUCGAGUAUGUCCUUAUCAGCAGCAUAAAAGUGGACUAAUACAAGGAUUUUCUAGACCACUUUGGCAGCCAUCACUGAAACCGGCCUGAAAUAUAUAUAACGGUCCUUCUCUUAUGUUCAAGCCAAUUUGAAUGGAAGGAGAUUUCUUUAUUUCAGAUAUCCUCACUAAUUAAUGCUCUACAAUAGCAUAAAUUUCUUGUGGUCCAAAUCCUUUUCUUUUAAAAGUCACUAAGUGGCCAGGCAUGGUAGCUCACACUUGUAAUCCCAGCACUUUGGGAGGCCGAGGCAGGUGGAUCACCUGAGGUCAGGAGUUCGAGACCAUCCUGGCCAACAUAGGGAGGCUUCAUCUCUAAAAGAAAUAUAUAAUUCAUGAAUACUAACAGUUUAUGGUUUUUUUAGUCAUACAGUUCAAAUGCCUUCUACUAAUUUUAAACAGCAUCUGGAUUUUAAAGGAGCAAAAUUCAAAAGAAAGAAGCUUGAAAAUCCUUCACUGGAAAAACCUGCCCAUUAAAAAAAAAUAAGACCAAAGCUCAAUUCUCACCUGGUUCCAAAAACCAUUUGAAUUCAGCAUAUCAUGUGUUGGAUUUUAGAAUGGAGUAAGCAGAGAAACAGAGGGAAAACAGCAACAUGUGUAAGUGAUCACCAAAAAAAUAGCCCGUUUCCAAUACUGAAAAAAACAUGGCUUAUACAUAGGUCACAGAACAAAUCAGACGAAACCAAAGUGCCAAGUCACAACUUAAAGGAAAAGAAUCCAUGAGGGACCUUCGUGAGCAGAUGGAUUAGAAAGGCUAAGUUUCAACUCAUGAAGACUUGAACCUACGCUAUCUGAAAUAGCCAGUCAAUAACAUUAAUAAUAAUCAUAAGACUCUGAAAACUACAGCUGGGGGGAUUAAGUCAAACGGAGAAGCAAGGGACUGAACAAGAGAAGGGACUUUCCACAGAAUUACUGAAAACAACAAUCUGGUAAUGAGGGAGUUGCUUCUUUCUGCUGGAGUGAAAUUCCUCUACAAUGUUUUUCCUUUGUGGCUGCAUUUUCUAGCAUCAGUAGGAGUACCUUCUGAAGAGAUUAAGUCCAGUUCACUAUUGAAUCUGCAUUCAAAGAUGCCAGUAAGCAGAUUUGGAAACUGAAGCACAGACAUUAAAUAAUGUGGCCACGUCAUGCAACUAAUAAGCAGUAGAUCUGAGAUUAUCUCAAAGGUCACCAGCUUGAACAGACCCUUCUUGCUCUGUCCCAAGGACAAAGAAGAUGGCUGGUGCGUUCCCCUCUGUGAAGAAUUUGCUGGCAUUUGAAAGAAACGGUCAGUAGAAUAUUCACUGGAUAGUGAAAUUCUUUGUGCCUGGGAUGUGUUCAGUCUGUUAUUCUGCUGCACCAGGAAAGAAGGUCCAGUGUCUUAUUUCAUUCUGGAGCUUUUUGAAACUUUUUACUCUGUACUUUAAUUUUGGCAACCUUGGACUGAUGGGGUUUGUAGAUAUUAAUUAUCAAAUUGUUAUGUAUUAGCUGAUAUUCUUUCAAUUCAAUAAAUAUUUUAAAUCCC